GAUGCUGAUGUGAUUGCGUUUUUCUCUGCAGUUACACACACUGGUGGACUGACGGAGUGCUGACGUUCCUGCCGUUACCGUAUGAUGAAGAUUUGCUCAUCUGGGUCAGAACCAGCACAAGGUGGAGAGAAACGACGAUACCAAGAAAUUAGAUGCCGACAUCAGCCUAUUGGAUGAGUGUGAAGGCUGGACCAGCGCUCCGGUGUCUCUGUUCCCGUCGGACAGCAUCUAUGAGGUUUUGGCUCCGGAGUUGGACAUUCAGAGCCAUGAGGUGUUCGAGUGUCACGUUCAGACGGGUCGUGGUUGGGUCAGGAGGACGUGCUCAUGUACCGCGAGUACAUCAAAAACAGAUACAUGUGAACAGAUUGACUGAUGGGAAAUGGUUGAAUUAUUAGAGCAGCAGUUCUCUGUACUGCUCAUUUAAAAUGAGUCGUUUGACCAUCAAAAAUAUACAGCAUUCCUUUUCCCUAUAAAAGCAAUGCAGGAGUGUUUGAUAUGAACCUGUAGGUCAUGAGGAAAAGGCUCCGCUGUGACUUUUAAUAGAUUUUGUGGCGUGAAAGUGAAACAAAUCGAUUCGCAGAUGAGCUUCUGAUUAAGUUGUGCCUAAUGUUAACGUGAUGUAUGAAGUUACAUAUGUACAGAAUAGAAUAAAAGAU